UAGCGCGGUGGUCCUACCUGACCCCAUGCCGAACUCAGAAGUGAAACGCCGUAGCGCCGAUGGUAGUGUGGGGUCUCCCCAUGCGAGAGUAGGGAACUGCCAGGC
rnacentral:rRNA from 1 species